AUGGGUUGUUCUCCUUUCUUCUGCUAUAAAAGUGGGGCAACACGCCAGCAAAUUUCUACGCAUACUGAAGACCUCCCUGGUGAUAUUAAUACAAUAAGAUACACUUAUAAGGAGCUAGCAAGGGCAACAGAAAAUUUUAACCCAUCCAACAAGAUUGGUGAGGGGGGUUUUGGAUCUGUAUAUAAGGGGCGGCUAAGGAAUGGAAAACUUAUUGCUGUCAAGGUGUUAUCUGUAGAAUCAAGACAAGGACUAAAGGAGUUUCUGAAUGAACUGAUGUCAAUUUCCAACAUAUCUCAUGGCAAUCUUGUCAGCCUUUAUGGCUAUUGUGUGGAAGGAAACCAGAGGAUCCUUGUCUACAAUUACCUUGAGAAUAAUAGCCUUGCACAAACACUUCUAGGUUCUGGCCGCAGCAAUAUCCAGUUCAAUUGGAGAAGUAGAGUAAAUAUUUGCCUUGGUAUCGCCCGAGGAUUAGCAUACCUCCAUGAUGAUGUCAAUCCCCACAUUGUUCAUCGGGAUAUCAAAGCAAGCAAUAUACUUCUUGAUAAGGAUCUCACCCCCAAAAUUUCUGAUUUCGGUUUAGCAAAGCUUCUACCUCCAAAUGCGUCACAUAUUAGCACACGGGUUGCAGGAACAUUAGGUUACUUGGCUCCUGAGUACGCCAUUCGAGGACAAGUGACACGGAAGUCAGAUGUUUAUAGUUUUGGUGUUUUGCUUCUGGAAAUAGUCAGUGGGAGAUCCAACACCAGUUCAAGAUUACCCUAUGAAGAUCAGAUACUUCUGGAAAAGUUCCCAGAGGUUACCAACGGGGUUCUCCUCUUGCAGACAUGGAUGUAUUAUGAGCAGGGAGAUUUGGCGAAAAUCAUAGACAGUUCUGCGGGUGAUGAUUUGGAUAUUGAACAAGCCUGCAGGUUCCUGAAAGUUGGACUUCUCUGUACACAAGAUGUCACAAGACAUCGACCCACUAUGUCAACUGUCGUCAGCAUGCUAACAGGCGAAAAGGAUGUUGACUCGGAGAAGAUCAGCAAGCCCGCUACAAUUAGCGACUUUAUGGACCUUAAGAUCAGGAGCAUGAGGAGAGAAAAUAACAUUGCUUUCGCUUCAUCCUCCACGUUGCUAUCCACUAUCAUGGCACACUCUUCUCCUUUGUUGUCACAAGAGACGACACAAGCCUCCAUAACAUUCACCGCAAUAUCAGAGCGUGAGUGA
rnacentral:rRNA from 1 species